rnacentral:rRNA from 1 species
UCCGUUAUGGCCAGGAAAAAUUCUUAUUGAAAGCAGGUUUAUUUAAAUUUUUAUAUUUAAAAAAACUGGAGAAGUUUUAUUUCUGCUUUAAAAAAGGCAGCCUUUGCCGUAUACAAUCCAACACAGGUGGCAUAGCAGAAAAUGCUCAGGCAAACACAUAUCCUCGGUAAAGGAACUCGGCAAAUUACUCCUGUACCUUUGGAAGAAGGGAGCCCAUUUUUUAAAACUAUACAUUUUUUGUUUUUUCUUAAAAAAUGGGGUCACAAAAAAGGGAUGGGGAACUGUUUAGCAAAAACACAGGACUUUGCAACGUAGAAAUACUAAGUAUAAAGUCUGACGCCUGCCCAGUGCCGGAAGAUAAGAAUUUGUUGUGAAAGCAACAACUCUGAAGGACCGGUGAACGGCAGCCCUAACUCUAAGGGUUCUAAGGUAGCGAAAUUCCUUGUCGAAUAAUUGUCGACCCGCAUGAAUGGCGUAAUCACCCAUCCGCUGUCUCUACUGAGGUGUGGGCGAAUUUGACAUUCUCGUGAAGAGGCGAGAACACUGCCACGGGACAAUGAGACCCUAUGCACCUUUACUCUAAGCGAAAAUUGCUUUUUUAAAAAUUCUUUUUCAGCAUAGGUGGGAGUAUUCUAAAAAGUACACCAGUGAGAUACCACCAUUGAUUCAUUAAAAAGCCUUUCUAUUGACUGUUAAAAAAUAGAAAUCUUUUCGCUUGGGAGUUUGUCUGGGGCGGAAGCCUCCAAAAAAAUAUCGGGGGCGUGCCAAGGUAUGGAUAAACUGUUUUUGCGGUUUAGAGUCUGACAACCCAGAAACCAUGCCUGACUGUUAGGCCUACAAGCCAAGCAGGGUGUUUUUCAUAUAAGGAAUAAACACAUUCCAAACCUUUUGUUCUAUCGAACAAAAGUGUCUAAAGACCCUUUUGGAAUUACGAAAGUAUGCGGUAGUGAACCAGCACUCUGGAGUGGAAAGAGUGUUGAUCAACGGAUCAAAGGUACGCUAGGGAUAACAGGUUUAUCAGCCCUUAGAGUUCCAAUCGACGGGCUGGUUUGACACCUCGAUGUCGGCUCAUCGUGUCCUCUUGCUGCAGAAGGUAAGAAGGGUUCGACUGUUCGUCGAUUAAAACGGUACGUGAGCUGGGUUCAGUGCGUGGUGACACAGCACGGCUCUUCUCUGUGGCAGUUUUUUAGACAGUUACAUAUACUUUUUAGUACGAAAGGACCUGAAAGUACACACCUCUGGUAUAUCAGUUGUAUUUUUAAAAAUGCAUUGCUGAGCAGCUAAGUGUGCAAACAGUAUGGCUGAAAGCAUCUUAAGCCAGAAAGUUGUGUAAAACCAUGUCUCUUUUUUGGUUGUAGACUACAACCUUUAUCGGUACAUUGUAAACAAACGAAAGUUUAUAGGAUUUUCCUCACGAAU